AUGUUGUUCUCCAGCCUUCUGAAGGUGGUCAUGGCUUCAAUGCGGCUAGGAUCCAGUAUUGCCCAGAAGGUAACUCAAGCCCAACCAGCAAUGUUAGUGCAUGAGAAGGAGGCUGUGACCCUGAACUGCAGAUAUGAUACCAGUGAUGCAAGGUAUAGUCUAUUCUGGUACAAGCAGCCCAGCCAUGGGGUGAUGAUGUUUCUUAUUCGCCAGGAUUCUUAUAACCAGCAAAAUGCCACAGAAGGUCACUACUCAUUGAAUUUCCAGAAGGCAAACAAGUCCAUCAAGCUUGUCAUCUCAGCUUCACAGACAGAAGACUCUGCAGUGUAUUUCUGUGCACUGAGGGAGACCACAGGGGGAAAGGUUGUACAGGGCAGUGGUUCCCAAAUGCCAGACCUUCAACCACCAACAUGA